rnacentral:rRNA from 1 species
UACGGAAGGUGCAAGCGUUGUUCGGAAUGACUGGGCGUAAAGCGCACGUAGGCGGGUUCACAAGUCGAACGUGAAAUCCCAGGGCUUAACCUUGGAACUGCAUUCGAAACUGUGAGUCUUGAAUACCUGAGAGGUUAGUGGAAUUCCUGGUGUAGGAGUGAAAUCCGUAGAUAUCAGGAGGAACACCGGCGGCGAAGGCGGCUAACUGGCAGUGUAUUGACGCUGAGGUGCGAAAGCGUGGGGAGCAAACAGG